rnacentral:misc_RNA from 1 species
AAGAAAACACAGUUAUGAAUAUAUUUCAAACUUUGUUCCUAAACUAUAACAGUUAAAGUCAAUUUUCUGUAGUGGAGUGAAUGUAGCAUUUCUUGAUUGUGUCUUGUUGAAUGUUUAUGGAAAGAAUUCAGCAAUCAGAAUAUAUGUAUUUUGGUUCGGUUGACUUUGGUUGUUCAAUUCAUUCUCCAUAUCAACAACAAAUUAUAUCAAGUUAAUUUUCAAAGGAACAAAGGUAACAGGACUGUAUAAAAUG